rnacentral:rRNA from 1 species
AGUGAACGCUGGCGGUAGGCCUAACACAUGCAAGUCGAACGGCAGCACAGUAGGAGCUUGCUCUUACGGGUGGCGAGUGGCGGACGGGUGAGGAAUACAUCGGAAUCUACUUUUUCGUGGGGGAUAACGUAGGGAAACUUACGCUAAUACCGCAUACGACCUACGGGUGAAAGCAGGGGAUCUUCGGACCUUGCGCGAUUGAAUGAGCCGAUAUCGGAUUAGCUAGUUGGCGGGGUAAAGGCCCACCAAGGCGACGAUCCGUAGCUGGUCUGAGAGGAUGAUCAGCCACACUGGAACUGAGACACGGUCCAGACUCCUACGGGAGGCAGCAGUGGGGAAUAUUGGACAAUGGGCGCAAGCCUGAUCCAGCCAUACCGCGUGGGUGAAGAAGGCCUUCGGGUUGUAAAGCCCUUUUGUUGGGAAAGAAAAGCAGCAGGUUAAUACCCCGCUGUUCUGACGGUACCCAAAGAAUAAGCACCGGCUAACUUCGUG